GAUGGAGGAAAAGAACUGCAGGGAAGUAGAGAGGAAUAUAGAGAUAAAAGCCUAUGAAUUUUUCAGGGCAGAAAAUGUAACACCAAGAGCUUUGGUAAAGGAAAAUGUUGUGCAAUCCUUGCACAGAUUAACAUAAAGAAUAGCACAGAAACAGAUAUUGUGCAUUGCCCUACAAGUUUUACUGCCUUGUGAAAGUCAUGCACUGUGCUCAAGAGCUACUGCCAGCAUCUUCAUGAUGACCUGUUUGUACUUUCAUCGACACAGAACGUUAAGCUGAAGCAGUAAAAGAAAUCAAGAAAAAGAUAAUACAGCUUCUACAUCAGGAGAUUCAGAAGAUCACAGGCUAAUUUUCAAGGAGUGUGGCUGACUGAGUCGCUGCAGAUGCUUAAGGGCUGAAGUUGUGGAGGUAGUGCUUUACACUAUGGCUCUUUGUCCUCCUGAUGGAAAAAUCCAGAUGGAAAGAAGUAUAGUUCACAAGGAAAUGAUCAUGGGCCUAUUUUCUCUUGGAAUUGAGUUUGAAGAGUUUGAAUGAGCAGAAUGGACAACAAAUUAGGAAUGUAUCCUAAAGGAGUGUCUAACACAUUUGUUGCCUUCAUUUAACCAAAUGAUCGAGGAAUGACUGGAGCAUACAAAAUUCAGAAACCUUCUACACCCUAAACAGAAUCAAGAUCACGAGGCCACAUUCUCUGAAAAGGCUAAUGUCAUUAACUUAAUGGAGCUACACUAGCACCUGCUUUUGACUUCUACUGAAGCUACAACUUACUUAGACUUGUCUUGGACCUCAUACUUAUUACAUCAUCAACAAAGCAAAUUUCAGUGCUCUGCAAACUGCAGCAAAGGGCUGGCUGCUACCACAGUCAGUUGAUACACAAAAUAAAUUUAUUUCUGGACUAAUUUGUUUCUAAUUUGUCUGUUUCCUUCUAUCCUCUCCAUUUGUAUUACUUAUAGGUUAUGGAACUCCCGAAAUUACAGUGCCUUGCUGGAGCUCUAAGUCAUCUGUGCUGUUCACAUCUGUGCUGCAGAUCACUGUGGAUAAAUGACUGAGUCCUGUCAGCCAGCUGCAGUUUUAUUUUUUUUCCUACGGGCAUCAGAAAAGAAUAAUGCUGCAACUGAAAUGUUUUGCAAUGAUUGAUAUGAGGAUUGAUAUGAGGAUUGACAGGACGAGGCUCC